rnacentral:piRNA from 1 species
UCCAGGACAUGAAACCCUUUGGUGUCACAGG